AAGGCGCCCGGGCCCCGCAGAAAGCGGCGGGGCCGGGCAGCAGCGACCGCGCCCUCGCACCUCGGCCCCGCCCGAGGCGGCCCCGGACAGGCGGGGACAGCCGGGCCCAGCUCCGCACCCUGGCACAGCCGGGAGACCUUACCUUUAUAAAAACUGAUUUCAACAAAGCGGGAUUAAGUACCUUUACAGAGACAACAAAUAGAAAGCACGCCCAGGAGUAAAAAAAUAAAAUGGGCACUAAUUCCGUUGGAAGCGACGCUGGAACAUUUGUUAGGACAGGCUUUCUCCGGGGCAGCUGGGCACAGGGCCAAGGCUCGCAGCUACCCAUCCUUCACAUUUGUGGAACAAGCUGAGCAAAACAAGACAACAUUAAAUGCUCUAGGAAGACACAUUUGAUCCUGUCCCCUUCGCUAAGAAGACAAGGAACGUCAUAAAACAGGUGUUCAACCCAUAAAACAGAGUUCUUAAAUGUCAGUCUAAGGAAAACAUUAGCAAGCUAGACCUGUAUGUUUACCUCAGUGUGGCAGUUCACAACUGAAAAACUAGCAUUUGCCCAGGAAUUUGCUGACUUUGUGGUUUCAGUUGCUUUUCAUCCUCUAUAUAAUACUUCCAUCACAUGUAACAAGACCUUUUACCAAUAUUUGUAGUGUUAUGCAAGAUAUAUUCAUGAAAGCACUAAAAAAAUGCAAACUGUUGUGUAUUCUCUUGCAGACCCCCUCCAGCAGGUACAACCACAAUUGCUACCGUGAUGCCCGCCCUGACACAAGUGCAGAAGGCAUGCACUGCCUUGGAAAAGGAAGCAAACCAGGGUGGCUGGUUUAUUGCAGUAUUCAAUAAGUUACCUGAGCUAAACAAAUACUUGAACUCAAACCUAACCUUGAUAAAGACACUUGGGCUUCA